rnacentral:rRNA from 1 species
GAUGAACGCUGGCGGCGUGCCUAAUACAUGCAAGUCGAGCGAAUGGAUUAAGAGCUUGCUCUUAUGAAGUUAGCGGCGGACGGGUGAGUAACACGUGGGUAACCUGCCCAUAAGACUGGGAUAACUCCGGGAAACCGGGGCUAAUACCGGAUAACAUUUUGAACCGCAUGGUUCGAAAUUGAAAGGCGGCUUCGGCUGUCACUUAUGGAUGGACCCGGGUCGCAUUAGCUAGUUGGGGAGGUAACGGCUCACCAAGGCAACGAUGCGUAGCGGACCUGGGAGGGUGAGCGGCCACACUGGGACAGGGACACGGCCCAGACUCCUACGGGAGGCAGCAGUAGGGGAUCUUCCGCAAUGGACGAAAGUCUGACGGAGCAACGCCGCGUGAGUGAUGAAGGCUUUCGGGUCGUAAAACUCUGUUGUUAGGGAAGAACAAGUGCUAGUUGAAUAAGCUGGCACCUUGACGGUACCUAACCAGAAAGCCACGGCUAACUACGUGCCAGCCGCCGCCGUAA